CCAACAGGGAUUGCCUCAGUAACGGCGAGUGAAGCGGCAACAGCUCAAAUUUGAAAUCUGGCCUUUCGGGUCCGAGUUGUAAUUUGCAGAGGAUGCUUCCGGCGCGGCGCCUUCCAAGUCCCCUGGAACGGGGCGCCAUAGAGGGUGAGAGCCCCGUCGGGUCGGCCGCCAAGCCUAUGUGAAGCUCCUUCGACGAGUCGAGUAGUUUGGGAAUGCUGCUCUAAAUGGGAGGUAGACCCCUUCUAAAGCUAAAUACCGGCCAGAGACCGAUAGCGCACAAGUAGAGUGAUCGAAAGAUGAAAAGCACUUUGAAAAGAGGGUUAAACAGUACGUGAAAUUGUUGAAAGGGAAGCGCUUGUGACCAGACGCGCGCCGGGGUGCUCAGCAGGCGUUCUCGCCUGUGCACUCGCCCCGGCGCGGGCCAGCGUCGGUUCGGAUGGGGGGAUAAAGGCGUCGGGCACGUAGCUCCUCCGGGAGUGUUAUAGCCCGGCGUGCCAUGCCCCCGCCCGGACCGAGGUUCGCGCUCCGCAAGGACGCUGGCGUAAUGGUCCCCAGCGGCCCGUCUUGAAACACGGACCAAGGAGUCGAGGUUUUACGCGAGUGUCUGGGUGUCAAACCCGCACGCGUAAUGAAAGUGAACGCAGGUGGGAGCUUCGGCGCACCACCGACCGAUCCUGAUGUUCUCGGAUGGAUUUGAGUAGGAGCGUAGGGCCUCGGACCCGAAAGAUGGUGAACUAUACGUGGAUAGGGUGAAGCCAGAGGAAACUCUGGUGGAGGCUCGCAGCGGUUCUGACGUGCAAAUCGAUCGUCAAAUCUGCGUAUGGGGGGCGAAAGACUAAUCGAAACCAU
rnacentral:rRNA from 1 species